UUUUCUUACCAUUGAGAAAUUUAUGAAAAUAAAUUAUAAAAGCAAUAAUAUCAUACAGAUCAUAACUUUAUGCACGACCAACAACAUAGAACAUAUCAUAAAUUCAUAUUUAUUAACAAUAAACGAAAUCGUAACCGUUUCUCGUUUUACCAGCCUACUAGUAUCCAUGGGGAUCCAUAGGGGUGUCCCCGCUACACGUGAACCCUUUUCCUUAACAGUCUUAAUUACAUAGCCAGCUCCAUACCCCGUUCGGUAUGAGGGUGAAGCAGGCUGUCCUCAUACCCCGUCCAGUAUGAGCACCAAAUGACCAAGUCUUCAUACCCUGUCUGGUAUGAGACAACGUUCACGGUAGGGCUCCCCAUGAACCCUGUAACGGCCCCAAAAAUUUAAAAAGAAAUACAUAUAAUAAUUUGAGUGCGGAAGUGAAAUAAAGAUUAAAGUUAACAUCCCUUACACGAUAACUUAAAAGUACUAAACAAACAUCACAAAAUAAAUUCUCUGAAAGAAAUACGAGAAAUAAAAAAAAUAAAGGAAACUAUAAAGUAUCUAGCUUCUACUCGUAGCCUUCUUGCAGAUCGAGCUCGGAAGCUAGGUCCUCCUGAUAUGAAAUGGUUAAAUAAGGGGUGAGCUACACUAACUCAGUAAGGACAUCACACUAUAUCGCCGGCACAGAAGUAAAGGUUGGUAGAAAAUAAAAAAUAAUCAAUGGAGUACAAAUUUUAAAUAAAUUCGUUUAUCAUAAAUAAAACCAUUUACUCUCUUACUUACCAUUGGGGAAUCUGUGAAAAUAACCUAUAAAAGAUAAUAACGUCAUACAGAUCAUAACUUCAUGCACAAUCAGUAACAAUAGAAUAUAUCAUAAAUUCAUAUUCAUUAACAAUAACUAAUCAUCACCGUUUCUCGUUUCACCAGCAUACUAGUAUCCAUGGGGAUCCAUAGAGGUGUCCCCGCUACACGUGAAUAAUUUUUCUUAACAAUCUUAAUUCCAGGGCCGUCCCCAUACCUCGUCCGGUAUGAGCGCCAAUACAUUAAACCUCAAUACCGCAUCCGGUAUGAGGGUUAAGCGGGCCAUCCCCAUACCCCAUCCGGUAUGAGCACAAAAUGACCAAGUCUCCAUACCACGUCCGGUAUGAGAAAAUAUUCACGGUAGGGUUCUCUAUGAACCCGGUCCGUCCACCAUCUCCCAGGAUAUCUAGUGAGACUGUCACCAUAUCUGUUUAUUAGAUCACAUCCCUUUCCUAUUUCUCCUUAAUCUCCGUUACCAAGUUAAACACAAUCACAUAAAUAAUGAACAUGCACCCGGUAAUACAAUCAUAUCUUAAAUCCCAAAAUCACACAGUGAUCAAGUAAGACAUGCAUAUAAAACCCUAAAUCAGAUACCAUCAUGCCUUUAAACUGUAAAAUAAAUCAACAUGAAUCAACAGAGAAUAAUGUCCGAUUUCAGGCUCCAUUAGCAAUCCGUAAUUAAUUAUGCAUAUUUAUCUAACUUGUACAAAAGAUCGUAUUAUUAUUUAUUCAAACUUCAAAUUUAUGAUAGAAAAUAAGGUGAGGGGUCCUUACUUGAUUCGACACCGAAAACUAAAUGGCUACUGCGCCUACGAGCGGUCCCUAGGUUCCUUGAAUUUUUCUUCAGAAACUGGAACGCGCUUACGGUACCUACAAAUGUCCUAAAUAAACCCAAAAGUCAGUCUCAGGGCCUACUCGGCCAAUUUUAAAAAUCCGGCACGGCGGCUCCGCUGUGCUCCAGCGACGGCGUCGCCGCCUGCAGUGGCGACCCGCCCUGGGUUGGCUGUUUUGGUCUAUUUUUUACCGAAUUCAGCCAAACUUGCAUUGGUUCCUACGAGAAAACACACUUAGGGCCUUUGGUUGGCUGAAAAAAAUGUAGAAUACUGAAACUCACCGGCAGUGGGGCUCUCUAGUGCGGCGGCUCCUCCGGCUCAAGUUGCGGUUGGGUGUUUUGCUUCUGUCAACCUGUAUAGAAGAAAACGGUGAUCAUAACAAUAGAAAAUCACAUUGAACGGGAAUCAGAAAGGGCCUCAUCGGAGGCAUUUUUUGAACAUCCUGUGGUGGCUCCGCCGAGCUUUGGCUGCAUUUUUAGCCAAUUGGUCGGUUCUUUCACUCGAUUUGCCAUGUGUGGGUUUAAAUUGANNNNNNNNNNNNNNNNNNNNNNNNUCCAGCGAGGGCUCUGCGGCUAGGGUUAGGGUUUGGUGUGAUGAGUUAUUUAUACCCAUCUGCUUUUGAUCUGGGUUGUCCAUCGCUUUUAAUCUGUACCGUCCGAUCGCGAUUAAAUAGGGAGUGAAUCUGGACCGUUCAUCGCGAUUCAAUUUGGACCGUCCGUGCACGAUGCAAUCUGGACUGUCCGUGUGCAUUAUGAAUCUGGGCCGUCUGUGCGCGCAGGAACGGAUCUUAGCUGUUCGAUUGCGCACACACGGAUUGACCACGUGGUUCCCCCCGCGUGGCCUCCCACGUAAGUGCCUCUGCCACUUGGCACGUCCUGGUUGGUCAGGGCUGCUGACCUGGCAUCUGACGUGACACAAUUUUUUUAAUUUGUGUUUUGACCCCCGAUUUCUGAUUUUUCUUUCAAAAAUACCCAUAGAACCCAAAUUUUCACAUCUUUUUCUUAAAAUUAUUUUUAAUUAAAUCCUUAACUAAUUUUUCACCAUUUUUAUUAUUAUUAUUAUUUUUAUUAAAUCAUAAUAAAAUAAAAUAAAAUAAAAUAAAAUAAAUUAAUAAAUAAUUAUAUUCAUAAUAAAAUAAAAAAAAAUAAAUGUUGGAUGUUACAACUCUCCCCCCUAAAAGAAAUUUGAUCUUUCAAAUUUGUCUCCUACUGUCGAUCGAACAGCUGGGGAUACUGGGCUCUAAAAUCUGAUUCUAGUUCCCAUGUGGCCUCCCUUGGUGUGUGGUUCUGCCAUAUGACCUUUACAAAAGGUAUUUUUGGGUUGCGGAGUAACCUGCUCUUUCGAUCCGCAAUAUCGACUAGUACUUCCUCGUAGGAUAAAUCCUCCUGGAGUGGAAGAGGUUCGUGGGCCAAGACAUGAGAGGGAGGGCCUAACACAAUACUUAAAAAUAUCUAAUACAAUACUCAAAAAUUAAUUCCAAAAAUUACAGAGAAACUGAACUUUAAAACUUAAGAAAAAGCUUACCCCUUUUGAUCGUGAGCCUUAUUCCUCUUCUCUUCUUCUUUCUCCGCUCUCACAAAUUUAGUAGAGUUUUCCUAAAAUUUUUAUUUAAAACAUCAAAAUACUCUAAAAAAUCACACAUUUCGUACUUCCUCUUCUUCUUUCACCUCUAUGCUUUUCAUUAUUUUUCUCUCUUCUAGAAUGUCUUUUCCUCCCUUCUCCUAUCCCCCUAUUUAUAAGAGUGGGGAGCCAUGAGGGAAAGGUUGCCACCAUUCCGUCUUACUAUUUCAUCUAAAAGUUGUUACCUUUUAUCAUGUCACUUCACUUAAAAGAUUACCACUCUUCACAUGUUGUUUUAUCUAAAAGACUUUUUCACAUGCUACUUCAUCUAAAAGGUUACCACUUUUAACAUGUCGUUUUAUUUAAAAGGUUUUUUCACAUGUCACUUUAUCUAAAAAGUUAUUACUUUUCACAUGUCACUUCAUCUAAAAGUUAUCAUUUUCUAUUAAGUUAUUUUAUCUAAUAGUUACCAUUUUUUAUUAUACCACUUUAUUUAAAAAUUUUCACCUUUUUUCAUGCCUCUUCAUGCUUAUUCUAGCUCCUUCAUCCUUAUCCAUCAUUUUUUCGUUUGAUUCUAAACUAUGACAUUAACUUUAUUAUAUAUUUUCAAACACAUACAAAACUAAAUUAAAUAUAUCAAAUAUAAGAAAUUAACUCGGAGGUAUUUUUAAGCUAUUACAUAUCCUUUGUUUGGAUGAUGAUAUUUCGUGGUUAAUUUUAUUUAGGGUAUGGUGUUGGGAUGAUGAAAUCCUAUUUGUUUCCUGAUAGUAUGGUUAUGAGAGUGUUUCAUGGUAUCCAAAAGGAAAAUUUUGGUCAAAUUUUUUGGUGAUUUUUUAUGGGCUUAGAUUUUUGUUCCGGUUAUACUUUCAUUAAAUUUUAUUAAUUCAUGUUUUACCCUAAAAAAACUCUCAAUUUUUCUAAAUUUUUUAGUCACUUAUAAAUAAAUGAAUAAAUUUUAAUUAAUUAAUAAUAAUUUGAGUUAUUUUUUAAAAUAUUUAAAUAUGAUUUAAUUAUUUUAUAUUUAUUUAUUAAAAAUAGAGUGAAAAUAAAAAUUUAAAAUAAAUAAAAAAAUAUUGAAAAUUAAUUUAUGAUAAAAAUAUUAAAAAUAAAUUGUAGUAAAUAUCACAAUUUUCAUGUAAAUUUAAAUUUACCUUAGAUUUAAAUAUAAUUAUUUAUGAAUAUUAAUCAGUAAAAAUAAAUAACUUAUAAAUGAAUGGGGGAAAAGUUAAACACCAAAUGAGGUUCAACUCCAAACGAAUGAAUGACAAGCUAAAUAACUUAUAUUGAUCGGGUACCUAUUAAUAAGAUAAUGAUUGAAAUAAGUAAGUUAAUUGAAUGUAUGUAAGUAUUUAAUUAUUUAAAAAUUAUCAAAACUGAAAAUUGUUCUCAAUAAAAUUUAUUUAUUUACUUUAUUUAUAUCAUAGAAAUGAUAAUAAUAAAUAUUAUGUAAUAGACAAUUUUUUAGAUUUUUUUCAAUUUAUAAUCAUAAAUAAAAAUUUCCAGUUUUAAAUUAAUUAUAAAAAUUUCUAGUUUUAAAUUAAUUAUAAAAAAUUAAAUUUUUGUUCUUCAUAACAAAUUGUUUUUUCAUAUUUUAAAAAAACUAUUAAAAAUUAUAAUUUAAAUAAUUUUACAAGUUAAAUAACUAAAUUACAAGUUAAAUGAAUAUUUUUUUAUCUAAUAUUAUAUAUAAUAAGAUAUGAACAAAUAUUAUGAAAAAUGUGACACUAGCAAAGAAGAUGACUUCAACAGCAUCGGAAAUAAGCUUUUUUGUAACACCCAAGUAUUUUUAAUUUUAUUCUUAUUAUUUUUAUUUUUCUUUUUUUUUUGUAUUUGAAUUUUUCAGAUUUUUAUUUAAUUUAAUUUAAUGAAAAUAAAAAUAAUAAUAAUGAUAAAACUGGGUAAAAAUAUUAUUUGGAUUUAAUUGAAAUUGAUUUUGGGAAAAAGGGGUGAAAAUUUGGAUUCUGGGGGUAUUUUUGAAAAGAAAAUCGGAAAUCGGGGGUCAAAAUGCAAUUUAGAAAAGUUAUACCACGUCAGCAGCCACGUCGGCAGCUCGGUCAGCAGCCCCAGCCAACCAGGACACGUCGCGUGGCAAGGAGACGCUGACACGGGACGGGCCACGUGGGCGAUCCGCGUGCGCGCGAUCGGACGGCCCAGAUCCGUUCCCGCAUGCACGGACGACCCAGAUCAAAUAUGCGCACGGACGGCUCAGAUUCACGCGUACGGACGACCCAGAUUCAAUCAGGUACGGACGGCUCAGAUUGCAUCGCGAUGGACGGUCCAGAUUUAAUCCCAAUUAAAUCGCGAUCAGACAGUUCAGAUUUAAUAUUGAUGGACGGUUAAGAUUAAAAGGCAAAGGGUAUAAAUAACCCCACCCACACUUGACCACAAAACCCUAGCCGCCAUUGCUUUGCCGGAGAAGAAGAACAAGACGCCGGAGAAGCCGUCUGUCGCCACCCGCCGCCGCACCGGAGAGGUUUCUGACCGCCAAUUGAGGUAAAUUUUCUCCCCCUGGCUCAUUUUUUGAUGCUGAGUCCGCCUAUGGCCAAACCAGAGCGAAACCACCAGCCAAACGGCCGAAAAACCUAGCCGAAGUCCGACAGCGCCGCCGCGACUCCCCUCUGUUUUUGCCUCCGAUGAGGCCCUUCCUGGCCUCCGUUCGAUGCAAAUUUUAUACCACUGUGAUCACCGUUCUUUUCUCUACAAGUUGAUUGGAGCCAAACAUCAAAACGCGACUCACACCGGAGGAGCCGCCGCACUCGAGAGCAUCGCCGUCGGUAAGUCUCAGUUUUUUGUGAUUUUUUGGCCCACCGAGGGCCCUAGGGUUGUUUUAUCGCUGGGACCGAUGCAGGUUUGGCCGAAUUCGACCGAAAAUGGCUGAAAACGGCCAACCCGAGGUGGAUCGCUGUCACCUGCGGCAGCGCCGUCGCCGGAGCACGGCGGAGCCGCUAUGUCAGAAUUCUGAUAUUGGCCAAAAGGGGCCCUAGGUCUAAUUUAGGAUUUUUUUUGGGACACAUGUAGGUACCGGUAGUGCGUUUCAGUUUUUCGAAAAAAAUUCAGGAAAAUUAGGGACAGCUUGUAGGCGCACUGUAGAGUCGGUUUCAGACCCCGAAACAAGUAAGGAUCUCUCACCCUAUUUCCUAUCACGGUAUUAAAACUAAAUAAAUAAUUAAAUUGUACUUUAUGAAUUUAUAGAUGUAUAGUUGAUUAAGGUUGCCAAUGGAACCCGAGUCUGAUACAGUGUUAGUCUAUUGUUGUUUGAUCUAUUCUUCAGUAUUAAAUGCAGCAUGAUGUCUGAUGUAUUUAUUUUAUGGUCUCGUAUGCAUGAAUCAUAGUUUCUUUUAUUAUGGUUGAUAUUAUGGUUAACCCGAUACUGUGUUGUCUUGUUUGCUGUCAAUUACUGGUUUACAUGUUGUGUAUGAUUGGAUGAUUGAGAUUAAGAAAAAAAGCAGAAAGCUUAUGUGAAUUGAUAAGUGAAAAAUGUGGACAGCCUGACUGGAUAUCCUGGGAGAUGGUGGAUGGACCAGGUCCGUAGGGAACCCUACCGGGAACGUGGUCUCUCAUACUGGACGGGGUAUGGAGACCUUAUGUGUUUUGGCGCCCAUACCGGACGGAGUAUGGGGACGGCCCGUUUCACCUUCAUACCGGACGGGGUAUUGAGGUUCAUGGUUUUGGCGCCCAUACCGGAUGUGGUAUGGGGACGGCCAUAGAAUCAGGUUGUAAUAUUAAUGGUUCACGGGUAGCGGGGACCCCCUAUGGAUCCCCAUGGAUACUAAUAGGCUGGUAAAGAGGAAAAUAUGUUGUUUAAUGAUUGAAAUGCAAAGGUGUGGUAAGUGUUAUGUUAUAAAAUUUAUAUGAUUUCAUGAUGAUGAUAAUGUUAUUGCUUUCAUAUGUUGUUUUCAUGGAUCUCACCGAGAUAAGUGGACAGUAAAUGUUCUUAUGUUAAUAAACGAGUUUGUUAUAAAUUAUGCUCCAUUGGUCAUUUUUGUUUUCUACCCACCUUUACUUCCGUGGUGGUGAGAUAGUGUGAUGUCUUUACUGGGCUGGUGUAGCUCAUUCCUUAUUUAAUCAUUUUAGAUCAGGAAUACGUUGUUCCCGACCUCGUUCUACAGGAAGACGACGAAGGGGACGCCUAAAGACUUCAUAAUUAUAUUUAUAGUUCUUAUUUCGAGUAUCUCUUUUAGUUAGCUUGUUCCUUCAUGUUUUGAGUACGUUUUGGUUAUUGUGUAAGGGAUGUUAAUUAAAAUUUUUAUUACGCUUCCGCAUUCGAGAUUUUUAAUACAUACAUUUUAUUUAAAUUUUUGGGGCUGUUAUAUUUUUAACAAUCAAAAUGUAUUAGGCAUGGAAAGUACAAGUUAUAGCGGAGAAUAUGGAUUAGAGAGCAUGAGUUUUGAGGAUGACUUCUAGCUAUAGAACAUGAGCUUUUUAGACAUGCAGCAUCAAUUUGGAUCAGAAGAGUUUGGGAAUAUGAUAAUGGGAAAUGAAUUUGGAUAUGUGAGAAUGACAACUAUGAGAUCAAAUGAUGAACAUGAGGCUCAAGAAAGGGGAAAUAAAAGUUCAACUGAUCAAUUUUGGCUUUUUAUAUUCAAUUUGGAUGACAAUCACUCAAGUUUUUGGGAUUGAAGAAAUAUUCAAGGAUUUCAAAAAAUAAAACAAAACCCUCACAAUAACAAUUUUAUUGUUCAUGUUUCUUUUGUUCUCGUGUUUUGUCUUUAGAUUCAUGAUUUAUCUUUAUAUUUUUUCUAAUCUUUCAUUGUCAUAUCUAAAUGAUGUUUUUGUCUCUCUCAUAGAGUUUAUUAUGGGACUUAAUGUUUGCAAUAAUAACUGAAGACAAAUGUAUUAUAAAAGAUAAACCCAUGAGCUUACGUACAAGUAUCUUUUAUAUUUUUUACCGUUAAGAGAUGGAAGUUGGAUGAAUCUCUAGUGGCUCCUUCCAUCGGCAUCAUCGAACCAUGUUAGUAAUCCAUAAAAACUGGAAGCUCGAAAUGACUGAUCAAAGGAUUUGAUCCAUUUAGUUCUGUUCUUCUCUGCUUUUAUAGCACACCCAUAUAGAGGUAUCUUUCUAACGCUAAGCGCGCUGCUUCUCCUGUCCAAGUGAAGAGUAUCUUAGAAAAGUCCUUCCAGCUUGCAUAUUUCUUCUGCCAUUAAGAAUGGAACAUCUCUCAACUUGUAAGUGUUAGAGAUGUUGCAUUCUGUUGCAGGUUUUGGUUGAUUAAAGAAUCCUCUCAGAAGCCCGUGUAUAUUAGUAAAAGAUGUGACUUUCACGAGUUUGACUUUUCUUGUUCGUUAAAUAGAAAGUGAACUCACAGGGUUUUUCUUCAAAACGUUGCUAUGCAAAAAGCUUUGUUUCUUCAAUUUCUUGGAGAGGUUCCACCUGCUCAAUUUAUAAUUGGUGUUGUGCUAUGUAUCGAUUUUAGUGUUUAUUUUGUUAGACACCCCUAAACCUAUUAUUUCAUUUAUUUUUUUUAAAUAUAUAUAUAUAUAUUACAUUGUGCUGUUUCGUACACACAAAAAUAAUAUAUUUUAUUGUAACCAUUAAGAAUUUUGUAACGACUGAAGAUACUUUUAAGAGUUGAAUCUUUUAUAAGAUUUUUCAAAAAAAGAUUAAGGAAUAAGAGAUCAAAAGUCUCGUCUUAAGUUGGUAUAAAUACUUUGUAUUGAUUAGUAUUAAAACCAAUUCAAUAAUUUGGAGGUUCUAUAGUUCUCAGUUUGUUUGGUGAAUCAAAACCUAUAUAUCAUCUAUAGAGCAUUUGCCUCUUAAUAAUGUUUUCGCCAUCUGUUCUAGAAUUAACAGCGACAAGAAAAAGAAGAAGCACUUGAAGGUUUGAUAGAUGGUGUUCACCUCUAGAAGGUGUUUGGACAAACUUGAGCCAGCAAGAGGCGAAGAUGUCUUGGGAGACCGGCUUGGUAAUAUUAAAUAUUUUUUUCUUUCAAAAAGUUGUUGUUUACUAAACUUUAAUCAUGCAGAACUAUUGGCAACAAGAGAAGCUCUACCCAUACUUGUAAAUAAUCAUGUUGAAGUUGCAGAGACAUUUUUAGUUAGAAAUGACUAGGUAAUGGCAAUUUCUUGGAUGGUGAACAAUUUAUUUCCAUGGGUAAUGAAUGGCAUGGAAACGUAAUAAAAAAUUUUAAGCAAGAGCUUGGAGAUUUGAACUUUAUGUGUUAGUAGGAAGAAAAAUAAUAACAAAAUAAACAACUCUUUAGCGGUGAAGAUGGGUAGUUUGCGCAUCCAAAACUCUAAUAGUUUCAGUUUUAGGAUGAUUAACUGGUCGAUUAAUCAGUUUUUCUGUAGUGGUUGUUGUAAAUAUUUUUAUGAAUUUAUUAUUUUUAUCAUAUUUAUUUUUGAAUUAAUUUAAAAUUAUUAGGACAGCUCCUAUAGUUUUUUUUUAUAGUUAGAUUAACUUCAUAAUAAAAUCUAAUUAAAAUAACCAUUAAGGAAGAUCAUACAAAUUAGGUAUAAUUAAGAAUUUAUAUCAGAGAUAUGAAUCCCAAAAAAAUUAUUACAACACCUUCUACUUUAUUUGCAAGAUAAUCAAAAACAAAAAAGAAGACACUACACUAGAAUUAUCAAAAUUACUCAUAGUUAUGUAAUAUAUAUAUAUAUAUAUAUAUGAGUAUAUAUACUACUCAUACAUGACCAUGAUAUUUACCUGCUUUCCCUUUUCCCUUUCUUUUAGCCAUGGAGGUUGGUUCAGCAGCUAAUUUUAGGGUUUUGCCAAAGCCAUCUGUGCUAGUUGAUUGAUCUUCAUGGAGGUCUUGCACUGACCUCUUUCUGCUUUCUUCAGCACUUCCUUUGGCGACUUUAUCAUUAGUCCCCCAACCCAUCGCCAAUUUGUAAAGUCAUUAAUGCAUAUAUAUAUAUAUAUAUGCUUAAUAUGAAUGCCA
rnacentral:lncRNA from 1 species